rnacentral:rRNA from 1 species
GCGGUGACGGGGGAGUACCACGUGGGUAACCUGCGUGUGGACUGGGAUAACUCCGGGAAACCGGAGCUAAUACCGGAUAGUUCCUUGAACCGCAUGGUUCAGGAUGAACGACGGUUUCGGCUGUCACUUACAGAUGGACCCGCGGCGCAUUAGCUAGUUGGUGGGGUAAUGGCUCACCAAGGCGACGAUGCGUAGCCGACCUGAGAGGGUGAUCGGCCACACUGGGACUGAGACACGGCCCAGACUCCUACGGGAGGCAGCAGUAGGGAAUCUUCCGCAAUGGACGAAAGUCUGACGGAGCAACGCCGCGUGAGUGAUGAAGGUUUUCGGAUCGUAAAGCUCUGUUGUUAGGGAAAAACAAGUGCUAGAGUAACUGCUCGCACCUUGACGGUACCUAACCACAAAGCCACGGCUAACUACAUGCCAUCAGCCGCGGUAAUACUUAUGUGGCAAGCGUUGUCCGGAAUUAUUGGGCGUAAAGGGCUCGCAGGCGGUUUCUUAAUUCUGAUGUGAAAGCCCCCGGCUCAACCGUCCAGGGUCAUUGUAAACUGGGAAACUUGAGUGCCAAUGAGGAGAGUGGAAUUCCACGUGUAUCGCUGAAAUGCGUAGAGAUGUGGAGGAACACCAGUGGCGAACGCGACUCUCUGCUCUGUUACUGAUCCUGAGGAGCGAAUACGUGCCAAGCGAACAGGAUUACAUAUGCUGUUAGUCCACGCCUCAAACCAUG